rnacentral:rRNA from 1 species
CAAGGAAUUUUCCGCAAUGGGGGAAACCCUGACGGAGCAACGCCGCGUGCGGGAUGACGCCUUUCGGGGUGUAAACCGCUUUUCUUGGGGACGACGAGCGACGGUACCCGAGGAAGAAGGCCCGGCUAACUACGUGCCAGCAGCCGCGGUAAUACGUAGGGGCCGAGCGUUGUCCGGAGUUACUGGGCGUAAAGCGCGCGCAGGCGGCUCGUCAAGCAUGGCGUGAAAGCCCCCGGCUCAACCGGGGAGAGUCGUCGUGGACUGGCGGGCUUGAGGGCGGUAGGGGUUGGUGGAAUUCCCGGUGUAGUGGUGAAAUGCGUAGAGAUCGGGAGGAACACCCGUGGCGAAGGCGGCCAACUGGGCCGACCCUGACGCUGAGGCGCGAAGGCGUGGGGAGCGAACGGGAUUAGAUACCCCCGUAGUCC